UACGUAGGGUGCAAGCGUUAAUCGGAAUGACUGGGCGUAAAGGGCGCGCAGGCGGUUCUGUUUGUCGAGUGUGAAAGCCCCGGGCUCAACCUGGGAACUGCGCUCGAAACGGCGGAACUAGAGUUCGGGAGAGGAGAGUGGAAUUCCCAGUGUAGAGGUGAAAUUCGUAGAUAUUGGGAAGAACACCGGUGGCGAAGGCGGCUCUCUGGACCGAUACUGACGCUGAGGCGCGAAAGCGUGGGGAGCAAACAGG
rnacentral:rRNA from 1 species